AAAUUAAAUAAGUCAUUAGGUGCUCUAUUAUAAGAGGUAAAAGGGAAAGUGGUUAAAAUCCACUGCAGCCCCCGCUACUGUAAAUGAGGAUGAAAUCUAAAUUGCCAUCCAUAAGGAGAAGGUUAGAAAGUAAUAUGAUCCAUAAGCCAGGAAACCUGCCUAAUGUACGAUUAUUUAA
rnacentral:ncRNA from 16 species